UUUAAAGAGUGCGUAAUAGCUCACUAGUCAAGAGAUCCUGCGCCGAAGAUGUCCGGGGCUCAAACUUACCACCGAAGCUAUGGGUGUACACUAUGUGUACGCGGUAGAGGAGCUUUCUGUAUGGGUUGAAGUCGUACCGUAAGGAGCGGUGGACUGUACAGAAGUGAGAAUGCUGGCAUAAGUAGCGAGAAAUAAGUGAGAAUCUUAUUGGCCGAAAACCUAAGGUUUCCUGAGGAAGGUUCGUCCGCUCAGGGUUAGUCGGGACCUAAGCCGAGGCCGAAAGGCGUAGGUGAUGGACAAUCGGUUGAUAUUCCGAUACCACCUAUUUACGUUUGAGAAAUGGGGUGACGCAGUAGGAUAAGAUGUGCGCACUAUUGGAUGUGCGUCUAAGCACUUAGGCAUGCUUGAUAGGCAAAUCCGUCGAGCUAAGCUGAGGUGUGAUGGGGAGCCAUUUAUGGCGAAGUAUCUGAUUCCACACUGCCAAGAAAAGCCUCUAUCGAGUGAAUAGGUGCCCGUACCGCAAACCGACACAGGUAGGUGAGGAGAGAAUCCUAAGGCCAUCGGAAGAAUUGCUGUUAAGGAACUCGGCAAAUUGACCCCGUAACUUCGGGAGAAGGGGUGCCUACGAAAGUAGGCCGCAGAGAAUAGGCCCAAGCAACUGUUUAGCAAAAACACAGGUCUCUGCUAAAGCGAAAGCUGAUGUAUAGGGGCUGACGCCUGCCCGGUGCUGGAAGGUUAAGGGGAACACUUAGCGUAAGCGAAGGUGUGAACUUAAGCCCCAGUAAACGGCGGCCGUAACUAUAACGGUCCUAAGGUAGCGAAAUUCCUUGUCGGGUAAGUUCCGACCCGCACGAAUGGCGUAAUGAUUUGGGCACUGUCUCAACAGCAAAUCCGGCGAAAUUGUAGUGCAAGUGAAGAUGCUUGCUACCCGCGAUUGGACGGAAAGACCCCGUAGAGCUUUACUGUAGCUUAGCAUUGAAUCUCGGUAUUGUCUGUACAGGAUAGGUGGGAGACUUGGAAGCUUGGGCGUCAGCCUGAGUGGAGUCAUCCUUGGGAUACCACCCUGACAGUACUGGGGUUCUAACCGGCGGCCAUGAAUCUGGUCACGGGACAUUGUUAGGUGGGCAGUUUGACUGGGGCGGUCGCCUCCUAAAAAGUAACGGAGGCGCCCAAAAGUUCCCUCAGCGCGGUCGGAAAUCGCGCGAAGAGUGCAAAGGCAGAAGGGAGCUUGACUGCGACACAUACAGGUGGAGCAGGGACGAAAGUCGGGCUUAGUGAUCCGGUGGUACCUCGUGGGAGGGCCAUCGCUCAACGGAUAAAAGCUACCUCGGGGAUAACAGGCUGAUCUCCCCCAAGAGUCCACAUCGACGGGGAGGUUUGGCACCUCGAUGUCGGCUCGUCGCAUCCUGGGGCUGAAGUAGGUCCCAAGGGUUGGGCUGUUCGCCCAUUAAAGCGGCACGCGAGCUGGGUUCAGAACGUCGUGAGACAGUUCGGUCCCUAUCCGUCGCGGGCGUAGGAAAUUUGAGAGGAGCUGUCCUUAGUACGAGAGGACCGGGAUGGACCAACCUCUGGUGCACCAGUUGUCACGCCAGUGGCACAGCUGGGUAGCUAUGUUGGGACUGGAUAAACGCUGAAAGCAUCUAAGCGUGAAGCCAACCUCAAGAUGAGAUUUCCCAUAGCGUAAGCUAGUAAGACUCCUGGAAGAACACCAGGUUGAUAGGUCAGAGAUGUAAGCAUGGCAACAUGUUAAGUUGACUGAUACUAAUAAGUCGAGGGCUUGACCAA
rnacentral:rRNA from 1 species